rnacentral:lncRNA from 1 species
UAACCGAACCUUUUCUCACAGUAGGCGACACUCCGCCCGCACCAAGCCUCCUAGAGACCCCUGCCGGGAUGGAGGAUGGGGGGGAGGCUCCCCCCGCAAGCCCAACGGCCCUGCAAGGUAACCAUACUGAUCCCCCUUAUCCGUCUCCGGGCAACUUUUUAACUUCCCGCUUCUCACACGUCUCGCCGCUGCAGGCCCAAGUGCACCCGCACCGGGAGCGGGUGCUGCCAUGGUUGACCUCGACUCCGACGUCGAGGUCACGGGGGCGGCGGAGGAGCCGGAAGCGGCCCCCGUGCCAAGCCCUGCUGCGCCAGCCAUGACGGCAGCGGUGACCAUCGCCACCACCGGGACGGCGCUCGGCGAUGCACUAGCAGCCGCGGACGCUGCUGGCACGGAUUCUUCUGCUGCCCAGCAGGGGACGGCCCCUGCCGGGGGUGCGGCAGCCGCACCAGCCCUGCAGUCCCCAGGCACGGGUGAGGUUGCCGGAGAGGAGCGACAGGACACUCCGGCACAAGCAGACGACCCCCCCACCCAGCUCCACGGUGGCAGCGGGGGCUUCGUCGUCGUCGGCUGCCUCCUUCAACACCGACCUCGGCACCCUUGCCGGGGUGGCUUGGAAUCCCAUCACCUGGGAUCCGAGCGUCUUCGAGCGAGGGCACCGGUUCCUCGACACCGUGAAGGACCAGCAACUGGUCUUCAUCACCUCCUUCAACGAGGUGAGGGAGCAUCAUGCAAUCGCCAAGAGAUAGCUUGGCGAGCUGCGGCAAGUCGUGGAACAAGAGCGGCAAGAGCUCUCCCGGCUGCGUGAGGAGACGCGCCUUGCCAGAGAGGAGGCGCGCCUUGCCUGGGAGGCCCUGGAGGAUGCCAACACACCGGUCGUCUCGGAAGCAGAGCUCUACCGGUGACUGGAGGCUCAGCACACCGAGCUCCAAAGAGCUCUGGACUUGCAGGUGGCGGCUCAAGCGGAAGCCAAGAAGGAGCACGCCAAGGUGCUCGCUGCCGCCCAGGCUCGGAUCGAUGAGAAGAGCGAUCUGAUCGCCAACUACCGCGGUGAGAUUCAGGGCUUGUGCGUCAAGCUUGAGGUGCAGGUCAAGGCCACCGAAAGCGCGGUGGAAGCAGCGGCCCAGCAUGAGAUUCAGCUCGGCGCCGCCAAGGACAGAGCGGCCUGGCUCAAGACCGAGCUGGCCACUGUCUGGGAGGAGCUUGCCAAGGCCGGCAAGGACAACGCGGCCAAGGCCGCGGAGCUCAUGACGAUGGAGAGCCACCUCCGCAAGGCCAAGAAGGCCGCGCAUGACUCCCGGCUCCACCAUGGCAUGCUGAUCGGGCAGCGGCAGCUGGAGACCGAGAAGCUGCUCAAGAUCGCCCAGGCGCUGCGUAACUUGCUGCCCAGGUUCGAGCUGCAGGCCGCGGCGGUGGACGGCACGGACGUCUCGACGCUGAUCCCGUUCUUCUCCGACCUGGUGGGGAAGCUCGGGGGGCUCGACCUCUGGAUCGCCCAGUUCGGCACCAACGAGGUCCCAACUGUGCUCGGGAGGUUGUCGGGACGAUCCUCCCGAGGAUACAUCUCCGGGACCCGAAGUUUCCGUUCGAGACGCUGCUGGACGCUUGGUCGGAUAGCGAGGACGAACCCACCCACACUCAGGCAGUGCAAGGGUUCAUCGACGAGGUGGUUGAGCGGAUGCAGAGGAAACCGGACCCCGAGCCGUCCCCGGAGCCCCCGGUUGAAGACGCUGGCAACUAGUUGCCGCAGCCUCCUGCUGGCCCCUAUUGCUUUUUGUUUACCUUCUUUUGUUUUCGUCCUGCAAGUGCGGUGCUUCGCGCCGGUUGAACAAUUACAUUUUCAUUAGUUAAUCAAGCUUUUUAGUUCUGCUUAAUCUUUGUUCCUUGUUCCUGGGGCUGCCUCGCGGGGUGGAUCCCUUUGCCUUUGUGCGCUGUGCCUUGUGUUGCCGGGGACUCGCGCGCCUCACUCUUGACCAGACCAGGGACCCGGGACGGACCCGCAGUGCCAACCUGGGGUCAAGCAGUAGCGGUGAGCCACUCCACUUGCGGCGUAACUACUCCAAGCCAUGCACUCCCGGGACGGACCCGGAAGCCGCAUGGGGAGUGCACUCCCCCCGCGAGCGUCCUUCUAACACCCCAGCCACACGCAGGUUCCGGGGGCACCCUUAGCGAGGCAGCGUUCAGUUACGUUCAGUUCUUAAAGAGUUUGUCAUUCAGGUUCAAGCACUUAGCUUUUCAUUUGGUCUCAUGCGCGGAACGUUUGCUUGCUCGCCUGGCAUGCCGCCCUUGAGAAAGCCUGUUUGAGGGAUGCGGCAGGAACACCACGGCAGGAUUGCCGUCGGUGACAAGCGCUGAUGACGAUGCUACCGCCGCGUCUCCGUGGCAACCCUCGCCUUUGGAAAGCCCCCGCUUUCGGAGGAACCUGUUCCGAGGGGUGCGGCAGGGACGUCGUGACUUUCUCGCCACCACCGGCAGACGCGGGCGGCGAGGACAUCACGACGUCCCCGCAACAGCCCUCGCUGCUUGGGAAAAUCUGCCUGAGGGAUGCAGCAGGGACGCUAUGGUGGGCCGGAGCGAACGGUAGACGCCGGCACCGGCAGCAUGCGUGGUGCCCCGCCCCUUGGAGUGCGGUACGACUCCGCCACUCCGCAUGCCAAGCCACUCUGGCACACGUGGCGGCUUCCCCCUGAAUCAGGAGCCUCAAAGUGUGGUCGCUCCGCACCACAAGGCGCUGCUACACGCCACGACUCGAGGGCAGUCCACGGGUAUCAUAGUGCGCAAAAUUCCACCUUUACCCUGCACAUUAGAUUCUUACCAAGCCCAAGAUGCUGCAAUGUUUUUUGAAAUUCACGAAAACACAGAGCAAUAUGGAUAAUCUCCUGCCUCCCAGCACCCGGGCACGGAAGGGUCGAUGGCAAACUUGGGUGUGAGCACUUUAUUUCCCAGACGCAGCGAGUGCGUGGUGCACGUUGCGGGAAGUCCGACAACUGCAUGUCCCGUGCUGGAGCGAUCCGGCAACGGGUUUAUGUUUUCGAGGCUCCGGCAGCCCCCUGCUCACAACCAAAUAUGGAAAGACACUUCUGUGCACCCCAAGUAGGAGACAGAAGAAGGAGGAACAUGCAAAUAAACGAGGCAAUUUUAAAAUUCAGGAAAAAACACUUAUCUUUAUUCACAAUAACUAGUGGUUUACACGCGGGGGUUGCCCGGCUGCACUAGUUUGAGAGGUAUGCAUCGGCGACAUCACCUGUGGGUCGGGCUCCGCCGCUUCACGGGUAGAACUUGCGCAAGUGCUCAAUAUUCCAGCUAUUUUGCACCGGCAAGCCAUCUUUGGUUUCCAGCCGAACAGCCCCGGUCUGGUCACAUGCACUACCCGGAAGGGGCCCUCCCAUUUUGGAGUCAACUUGUUCCCGGCCUUCGUUCCUUGUAUCUGGCACAGGACAAGGUCUCCGUUCUCGAGCCCCCGGGGACGGACUUGUCUGUUGUGAUAACGACGGAGUCCCUGCUGGUAGCGCGCGGCUCGCACAGCAGCCCGGCAUCGAAACUCUUCGAUGAAGUUCAGAUCGUCAACCCUUUGCUCGUGUUGGCUGGAGUUGCCGUACGUGCGUACUCAGGGAGAUCCGUGCUUGAGCUCGAGGGGCAGCACCACUUCUGCCCCGUAGACAAGGGCGAAAGGGGUUUCGCCCGUUGCCCGACUAGGUGUGGUUUUGAUUGACCACAGCACGGGCUGGAGUUCUUCAACCCAGUGUUUCCCGUGGCCUUUGAGCUUGUCAAAGGUUCUCGUCUUGAGCCCCCGCAGCACUUCCGCGUUUGCUCGCUCCGCCUGCCCGUUACUCCUUGGGUGAGCAACAGACGCGAAGUGUAUUUUGGUGCCCAGGCCCUUGCAGUAGUCCUGGAACGCCGUGCUCGUGAAUUGCGUGCCGUUGUCGGUGAUGAUGCCGUUAGGCACCCCAAACCGGCACACAGUUGUCUUGAAGAACUUGAUGGCCGCCUGGGCGGUCACAAACUGCUCGCGCAGGUCCGCCCAAGUGGCGAUGGACCCGGCAGGCAGGUUGAGCAGCCAGGUUCUCGCUGAUCCUUUCAGGACCAUCGGGAACCAGUUGGUUCUGACCUUGUCGUCAGCGCCGAUGGCGUGCAUCCCCAACGUGUAGGUUAGGAGGAAGGAAAUCCUCGGGAUUUACGGUCCCAUCGUACGUACCGAGUGCGGGCGCUCGGAACUUGCGGGGCCAUGUCACCUGCUGCAGUUCGCGCGUGAACGCGGUGCAGCCAUCCUCAGGACCCAUAGGAGCAUCUUCCUGCUCCUGCGGGCGUGGGCGCUCUACCUCGCGCCGACGCCGGCGCUCCAGGCGCGGGCGCAGAUCCUGUUGCUGGCGGGCAUUCAAAAUACCACGCGCGUUACCUCGCGUGACGGUGGGUGACGAGUCCGAGGACCCCUCUGGGUCCCCGUCCCCGUGGCCUCCCCGCAAGGGAGGGUCUUCCCCUCGUCGCGAGGCGCGGGGCGCGUCUCCGCGCUCCGGGUUCUGCCCGUGGCCGGAGCCUGCCGGGACGCCCUCGCCCUGCGGCUGUUGGGUGGCGAGCGCGAGGAGCGCGUCCAACUCCUCGCCCCAUGUCUCGUGCGCCGGCGUGCCCUCCUGUGGUUCGUACCGCACCAUGACGCGCGCGGCGAUGAUGGCCUCCACCGGGGUCCGCGCGACUGCCCUCCACCUUAUCCCCAGACGUACCCGGGUGCGUGGGGUGCGACCCCGCCGGCAUCGCUCGCGACGCAGUAUGCUCGUGGCGCAGCGGAUGCUGCGCGCCUUCAGCCCGCGAUUCGACUCACUGGCCGGCGUGGGCGGCACCACGUCCGCUCGCAUGGCCGGUCAUCUGCUGAUGGCCGAGGAGGCGGGGGUGGCAACUGCAAUUGCUGCACUCGUGAGGGUUCAGGAUUUUCCUGAACCCGCGACGCGGGCUGCGCAUCGUGCGACCGCGUGUGCGCCGCUGGGGCCUCACGCAGGUCGAUCCGAGGAUCACUAGCCCGCUUGGGGGGCAUGGUGGUCGGCUCUAUCGUUGAGGAGGACGAGGCCAAUGUUGGUGUAGACGCUGCCGCCGGCAGUCACCGGCAAGCUCUCCUCACGCGCCCCCUACCUGGCGCGCCAGAUGUCGUCGCACGGGGCUCCGACACCAGGGAUGCGCGGGCACCCCUUUAUAGGUUCGGCAGUGGGCAACGGUGAUCGCUCCGGCGAUCACCGGCAGGACCAAUGCGAGGCGUAGGAAUACACCAUGAACGCUACCAAGGGCACAUGCACACACUUUUUACCCCGGUUCGGGCCACCUUGUGGUGUAAAACCCUACGUCCUGCUUGUCUGAGCUUGUAUCACUGUAAAAUCGGCUGUUUACAGGUUGCCGGGGAAGGGUCCCCGGGUGCUCUCUUUUUGGCUAAAUGUUCCUUUCUACUUCGGGCUACUCCCAGUGUUGCGCUACGAGUUGGCUCUGUAAACGAACCAACGAACGAACUGAAUGCCAGAAAAACGAAGCAAAAGCUGAACCCUUUGACCGUAGGCGAGGGUCCUCCUUUUGUAGCCAAGGGGAUACCACAUGUGUCACGGUGCAUGGUUUACAAGUGGCGAGAAAGGAGCUUAGGUAGCUCCCCCUCGGCGCGCUGGCAUGCAUGCAUGAGCGCCAACCCCGCUGCUAGGGGUCUAGAGCCUAACAAAUAGGACUGGACAGCCACUGUUCGCCCGACUACGGAUAACGCUCCUUCUGUCGGCUCACUAAAUGCAUAGCACGCUUCACUCCUCGCCCUCGUGGAACUGUUCAUUGGGCGCAUGGCACGCGCCCACGUGGCCUCGCUGCUCCGCUCGCUCGGCCCCGCCCUCACAGCAGGAACCUGCGCCCGGGAAACCCUCCUCCCGGCAAGUGACUUCCCGGGAGGCGCCCAGGCAGGAGUAUUCCCUAAAGCCCCGCUAGCCCUUCUGGGCUGGUAGCUUGCCGGGCAGCCUGUACGUUGCUGCCCGGGGUGUGAUCCUCCCGGGAACUCAGCGAUGCAACCCACGCGUCGUGCAACGGUGGUACCUCGGGUGCCACUGGUGCAACAGUUCUAUUGGCCUACCAUGGUGCAAGACGCAAUCAUCAUAUUGCGGAAAUGCGAAGUUUGCCAGAAUAUGGCUAAGUCAAACCAUGCGCCCGUGGCUUCCCUGAAGAAUAUCCCGAUAACAUCGCCAUUUGCAUGCUGGGGAAUGGACCUUCUCGGGCCUUUCCCCGCAUGCAAUGGGGGCUGCAAGUACCUCGUGGUGACGAUUGAUUACUUCUCCAGAUGGAUAGAACCAGCGCCGCUUGGCAAGAUCACGUCACAGGCCGUUCAGAAUUUUUUCUAGGAAAACAUCAUAUGCCGAUAUGGCGUCCCACGAGAGCUAACCGUGGACAACGGCAAACAGUUCGACUGUGCGGAAUUCAUCAAAUCCUGUGAAUGCCUUGAGAUCAAGCUGCACUUCGCAUCCGUAGCCUACCCCAAGAGCAACGGUGCAUGCGAAAGGGCAAAUGGACUAAUCCUCCAAGGACUCCAUCGAAGGAUAGAGCACACGGUUAGCAAAGCAAGAGGAGCAUGGGGAGAUGAACUCGCUAGCGUGGUUUGGGGCAUACGCACAUCCAUUAGCCGUUCCACGGGCCGAACACCAUUCUCUUUGGUGUAUGGAGUCGAAGCAGUUCUUCCCGCCGAGGUCGAGUUCCGCUCACGUCGGGUCGAAAGGCUCCAAGAAGCCACCCCAAUUGCCUUCAUCGAAAAUGAAGAGCAUCACAAGACGACCAUCGAUCUUGUGGAAGAAGCUCGUGACAAAGCCCUCAUGAGGCACGCCGUCUACGACCAAAGCGCCGCACGCUUGUACAACACAAGGGUGAGGGAACGAGCCUUCUCCCAAGGAGAUCUCAUGCUGAAAAAGAACGUCGACCCAAAGCUCCAGCGCAAACUCGACCCUACAUGGGAAGGACCAUACCGCAUCGCCGUAGUAUUGGGAAAUGAUGCAUACCACCUCGAGAAUAUGGAAGGACAAAACCUUGUCCAUGCCUGGAAUGGCGACAAGCUUCGGCAUUUCUACGCCUAAGGAGGAACUUCAAGGGCAAUUCUUGCCGCUCCCAAAAGAAGACUAUCAGCGCCCAACCGGCCUUUUCCCUACGAAACUUCGAGGGAUCGUAAUCGCCAAUGAGGCCACGUCUACAUAAGGCUUGUAAGUGCCCAUCGGGGCAUACCUUAAGACAGGGAAGUAAGGAUCAAUAAAGUAAGUUCUUGAGGAAAAUUUAAGAGUGACACGAGACACUCACAUGACUCAUCGUCGUAACAAAGCCGCUACCCCUGUGCCGCUCACCGAGGAACACGGAAAGGCCUCCGUUGGCCCGAGCAUCCUCUAAAAAUGUCCACAGACAUAGGUUGCUACUAGCGACUCGUUCCUUGGUGGAUCCUAGCGUGCCUCAAGGCCAUCCACCAAGUAGAACCAAGUCCCCCGAGGGCCGGAAGUUCCUUAAAACGCAUUUAAGGGGAACCGUAAAUAAGCGAGUUAUGCAUAAGCUUACUUACCUCGGAGAACCAUGCUACCCGUAUGCGAGACGUCGCGCACGGGUCUGCAUGAUAGUAAUCGGGUUAAGGCUCCAUAAUAAUCGUGGGAAAGCAUAGCUUCUUAAAGUCCGAGGAGGGAAAAUUCCAUAUGAAAUUUCCCGAACGGCAUGUCGAAAUGUCCGGAUCACUACCGCCAUAUCGAUAGCGACCCUCACAAGGGUACUAGGACCCAUGGCUCGUAACCAUGGCCUAAGGCGCCGAAGCCGAGUCGUAUCCAAACGGCGACAUCAAUUGAUAACACAAAAGUGUAAUCAUAGCGAACGAUCGCGAGCUGUAUAAACUGAGGAAAUAUAGUACUUCACAAGAAGGAAAUAUAGUACUCCAAGAAAGACAUGUUGAGCCAAGUUAACAUUUCCGAUAAUGUCGACUACGUGGUGAAACAUGAGAAAUACAUGCUGAGCUAAGUUAACAUUUCCGAUAAUGUUGACUACAUAAUGAAGCAUGAAUCACAACAAAAAAGCUCCCUAACAACCUGUACGACCAAAAGCCUAAACAUGCUAGCCAUGAAGCUAAGUCAAGUGGAGAUAUGCAACAUCGCAUAAGUAAACUGCUGAGGUACAUCACCACCUCCGAGGGCGACGAGGCUCAUACCUCACCGUCACCCUCCUGAAGUGCGGGCUCGAGGCAACGCACGAAGCGUCGAGCCUGAGCGCGAAGAGGAGCACCCUGGUCCGCCAGAAACUUCUUCGCCCCUUGAGACAUCUCACCCUCAAGUCUGCUCAUCCCGGCACUGCCUCCAGGACUGCCGCACCCGCCGAUGAAACAAGUCGAGCACCCGUAUUCAGGAGGCACUUCUUCACGGUAGGCUCAAUGAGCUCCACCUGGGAAGUAAGCACCCUGCUCGCCUCAUCCACCGUACGACACGGAGGAAGAUCCGGCUUGGAAACACUCCUCAAGAAAAUCAUCGUCUCCCGAAUCUCGGUGGCCUGAGCAAGUAAAAGCGAGAUCAGGUCGGGACGGCGAUCCGGAGGAGGGCGACCACGAGGAGCAAGCAUCGGGCCAUCACCCGCUGCUGCUAACUCCACCUUGAGGGAAGCAGCCUCCGCACGGGCAUGCUCCCUAUCAAGGUUGGCCACCACCAAGUCCUCCUCAACUCGACGGGUCCUCGCGAUCUCGUCCUUCUAGCCGGCCUGGCUACAACGGCGAGCUCUGCCAAAACGUGGGAAAGCUCAGCCUCCACGGCCUCAUGCCGCACCCUCUCUGAAGCCAACUCACUCAAGGCAAGGGUAGACUUGGACAUCUCCACGUCCAAAGCAGCAGAAAGCGCCCCCACCUGAGUCUUGAGGGCAGGAAGGGCACCCACGGCCUCGACCAAACCCCUCACCUACGAGGAAGGUGGAGUUAGCACAAAGAAAACCCGAAGGACCAAGGGAGACAUGUCACGGACGCUCACCAGCUCCAGUGUCACGAGAGGAUCUCUCGCUCCAUCCUCGGUCAUCGGAAGUGCUCCGUCCGUCACUUGAGUCGGGGGCUCGCCCUCAGGAACCCCGGGCUCCGCGACUCUCGCACCUAAAACAAACCAAGGAAAUCAUCAGGGGCGGGCCUACGGCCCGUGCUACCCGGGCUGUAGCACGGGUCUAGCCCAAGUGAAGAACACAGCAGACAUGAUAAGCCCAGCCUGGCAGCCCCCCCAAGGCCCAGCCGUCCGUGCAGCCCAGUAGGCCGAAGUGACCGCUUGGUGUCUCCCUUGCUCGACGCGUAUCGAUCAAUCCUGGCUCUCGCCGUUCCGCUAUGUUGGUCACCAAAAAUCCUACUGUAGCUCGCUCGUUAGGUUUGGGAAAAAAAAUCUCCACACCCAAAUAGAUACUUUUGGUUUGCUGAUUCAUUUCAAAACAUCUUUGAUUGGUAUUUAUCUAAGAAAAAAGGUACUCCCUUCGUUUCAUAAUUUUUGUCUCAAAAUUGCCCAAAAAAUUGAUGUAUCUAUUUCUAAAAAGCGUCUAGAUACAUGUAAUAUUCGACAAGAAUUGUGGAACGGUGGGUUUAUUUAUCUAAGAAAAAUGUAUUUUUGUAUGUCUUUAGACUUUUUUGGAGACUAAUGGUGUUUGGGCCGAUGAGUUCAUGCUUUUGCUACCGUAAAUUUCAUUGUCAUCUAACAAAAAUUUAGUUUGUCAUAAGUUAGCCCCCUCCUUCAUUCAUUCCCGGGUCCGCCACUGGAAAUCAUGUCAAAAUCUUCAGAAAAAGAACGUCAUGACCAAAGAAAAGGGCACUCACCCGAGGUAGGAGCAUCCUCCUCGGGACGCUCGUGACCAAUGGAGAACACCUGGAUGCCCGCACUACUAGCUCCGGUCGACAACUCCACCACUGAGUCGCUCCGAAGCCGAAGCCCCGUCUCGCGAGUGAAAGCCUCAACCUCGUGGCUUGAAGGAGGAAGAACUUGCUCAAGUACAAUCUUCUCCUUCAUGUGCAGAUCCAAGGUCACUCUCAGGGGGGACCUUGACUCACCCACGACGGGAUCCGCCGAAUCCGCCAGGGCGUAGUCAAGAGAAGGAGAAUGAGUCGGGGGAGCUUUCCUCUUGCAUCCACUCGACAGACGAGGCACCUUGGGGACCGGCAUGACAGGCACCGCCAGGCCCAACACCGCCAUUCCCGCCUUCACCUUCCCGCAAGAGUCCCGCAACUUGGACCCCACCACCAACAUUGACGGUGUCGCCAAGCGGGAGUAGCGAUCGCCCACUCAGAGAAGGCGACCAAGCUUCGGGUCCUGUCGCAUCGGCACCAUCUUCCCGAAGCACUUCGCGAUGAUGUUGUGGCAUCCCCCACUGCUGAUCUUGGUCUCAUAGUCGUGAUGCUCCGGCCCGCCAUACGGACCUAUCAGCUGCGCGGCCCACAACGCCGCCCUCUCCUCGGAAAAUGUCGCUGAAAAAAGACAAGCCAAAAUUGUUAAGUAUAUCCGCAAGGAAAAAACAAUUGAAGCACAAAGGGAAGAGGAGUGGCACUCACGAGCGGUGACAAGCUAUGGAGAACAGAAAGAUCGAGGGAUCCCAAUCUCGGACCUCGGACGACUCCUCAUCAUAAAGCGCCCCGCCAUCACCAUCUCCUCCAUGAGGUCAUGAAAGCUCCUCUCGGCGGACACCUCCUUGAUCUUGGCCACCUUCCAGAGGUUGGCUGACCGAGGCUCCUCGAGGUGAGGCACCUCCCUAAGGCCUCCUGCCCCAGAGUGCCGAGGGAGAUCACCCAUGUGCCGAAGACGGGUCUUCGAGGCCCGAAGGAAAAACCACCGGGACUCCCACGUGACGAACAACUUCUCCGUGCUCUUCCCCGGCAUGAGCAGGAAGUCGUCCCCAAAGCCGGAACGAAGCAUCAGGAUCACCGAACCAAAGGCGCUCAGAGCAAAGCCGUCCGGAGUGAGCAACUCCAUCACCUCCCGGUGAAGUAGAACAGCAGAAGCUUCAUCAAAGGCUCCUGGUGAAGAGCCGUCUCACACAGCCACCUGAAAACGUUCAACCUCACGAUCAUUGACGAGUAAAGCUGGGCCAACUCGAUGCCGUACGUCUCCAGGAACUCCAACAAGAAGGGGUGAACGGGCACACACAAGCCGGUGUGAAACCAAGCCGAGAAUGCCACGAUGCAUCCCGGACGCCGCCGCUGGUCGAGCCUAACCUCCUCUCCAUCGAGCAGGAUACCGUCCCCCUUGGGGAAGUAUCCUGCUUCCUCUAGCUAGGCGAGAUCCUCGGGGCUCAUCGAAGAAGGAAGAAGGUGGUCAUGUGCCCAACCUCCGCCGUACACCGGCGCAGUCGGAACAGGGGGAGGACCGCCACAAGGGCGGAAGGAGACCUUCUUCUUCCGCGACGGUCGGUUCGCCGCAAGCUGCGCCAUGAACCCCUUGGAAGACCCUCACGAUGGCUCACCGGCCGGACGCUCGACAUCGAGUCCCGCCAUCUCACCUGCAAAAAGAUCCGCCAAGAAUUAGCAAAGUGCGGAAAAAUUCCGAAAGGAGUCGACCAAAAAAAGGAGGAGCCAAGCUCGUCGGGCCGAGACGCCCAGCCACAUCGCCAAAGCAAAAAAAAAGGAGCCGAGCCCCUCAGGCCACCCGGCCUUGUCGUCGCACGGGGCUCCGACACCGGGGGCGUGCGGUCACGCCCCUUUUUUAGGUUCGGCAGGGGCGUCGGGGAUCGCUCCAGCGAUCGCCGGCAUGGCCGAUGGGCCUACGCAACCUGCAAAGUAAUGUACACCGGAUGCAUGCAAGCUAAGAACACAUGCACACACGUUUUUACCCAGGUUUGGGCCACCCGGAGGUGUAAAACCCUACGUCCUGCCUGCCUGAACUGGUAUUGACUAUAGAUCAAGUGUUUACAAGUUAACGGGGGGAGGGUCCCCGGGCGUUCUCUUUCUGGCUAUGUGCUCUUCACUGCUUUAGGGUACUGCUAAUGGCUAAGUGUGAGUCCAUUUAUCCGUCAGAUUGUGGAACCGUGGAACCCCUUGACCGCCGGCGGGGGUCCUCCUUUUAUACUGAACGGGAUACCACAGGUGCCGCGGCACAUGCAUUACAAGUGUCGAUCAGGGAGACAUGCAACUCCCCCUCGGUGAGCUGGUGGCGUGCAUGGGUGACAACCCGCUGCUAGGGGUCUAAGACCCUAGAGGUAGGAUUGGACAUCCACUUUUCACCUGAUUUGGACGGGUAACACCCCUCCUGUCGGCUCAUUUAAUGCGCCGUGCGCCUCACUCCUCACCCUAGUGAGACUGCGCACCCGACGCCCGUCACACGCCCGCGUGGCGCUGUUGCUCUGUCCGCUGAGCCCCACCUUUGUGGCAGGACCUGCGCCCGGGAACUCCUCCUCCCGGCAAGUCACUCCCCGGGAAGCGCCCAGGCCAAACACACCCGGGAACCCCCCUCCCGGGAUGCGGCUUCCCGGGAGGUGUCCAGGCGGGAAUAUUUCCCGAAGCCCCACUAGCCCUUCCUGGCUGGUAGCUUGCCGGGUUGCUCGUGGCUGCUGCCCGGGACGAGAUCCUCCCGGGAACUCAGAGACGGGGCCCACGUGUCGCGCAACGGUGGUACUCCUGGUGCCACGGGUGCGACAGUAGGCCCCGGGCGUGGGCCGGCAUCACCUGUUCCCGGACGAGCCUUCCCUAGGUCAGUUGCCGGGCUACGCCCACAACCGACGCGUGGGCCCUGAUUCACCUCGGGCCUGCGUCCCUUCGUUGCCCUAAUACCACGCCGUUACAGACGGAGUAAUAGGCGCGUGAUUUCCACCCUAACCUCCCCCUUAAACAGGGAAGUUAAGGCCACUCCGCGCAUUACUCCUUUUGAUUAGGAGUUAUCCCCGCGCACCCGUAGGGUACGGAACCGGCCGUUACCAAACGGCCGGGUGUUAUAAAGAUUUUACCACUGCCCAAAAGGGGAAAGCACUCUAUUCCCCACGGCCUUUGUCUUCACCCUCCUUUCGCACCUCGCAUCCAAUUGUUCUUGCUAGCUUCCACCUUCGUCCCCCAUGGCGCCCCCCACCACCAGGAAGGGAAAAGAGGUGCAGGUCUCAAAGAGAGCGGCAGCCAGCAAGAGCGAGGCGGCAACCAAGGCAGCCGCCGUCAAAGACCAGAAGAAGCAGGAGAUGCGGGCCACGCUCGCCUUCUACCGGCCUGGCUACAACGGCGAGGCGCUGGACUACAUCCGACAUGCUGUCGCCUCCAAGUUCAACGAGCACGGGAAGACCCUGAUCUUCCCAGCGGACGCCGAGCACCAGGACAAGGACUUCUGGGUGUUCAGGCGCUUCAUCCUCACCGGGCUGGUGCCGCCGUUCUCGCCCCCCACGCACUGAUGGAGUCGUACCAGCUGCAGGUGGCACAGCUCCACCCCACAUUGCUGUUCCUCCUCGCUACCUUUCAAUUCCUCUGUGAAGCGUUCAUGGGGAUGAUGCCGUCGGUGGCGCUCUUCCGCCACUAUUUCUACCCCCGGAUUGACAACACGAAAGCGAUGUCGUCGGGGGUGGUAUUUCGCGCCCGCGACCAGAUGAAGUCCGAGUUCAUCGUCCGGUCGGGAAAGAAGAUUGAGAAGGAGUGGCGGGGUGACUGGUGCUGGGUCAGAGUGGAAGACCCCCAAGAGUUCAUCUUCUCGCCCACAGAGUUGCCGCAACCCCACAGCGGCAGGCAAGACAGGUAUCACCGCGACGCCGAUCUCCUCCCCAUCAUGGAGAAGAUCAAGGCGCUGCGGCUAGCGGGGCUCACCGACGUGGACGUGGCGCGUACCUUCGCCAACCGGCGUAUUGCGCCGCUCCAACUACGCUCCCGGCCCACGUGGAUGUACACGGGUCCCGGGGAUAGAACACGCCUCCACCAGGACGGCAUGGAUUUGGAAACCCUCAAGACGUGGGUGAGGGGAAUCUCCGGCGAAACCUUCGAAUCAACGAGGUUCCCGCCGGGGGUCUUCUCCCUCCAUGCCGGUGUUGCGGCGCUCAACAACAUCGUCACCGCCUUCCCGCCCUGCAACGAGUGGGGGUUGAUGGAUGAUAGCCCCACUCGGGCCCUGCACGCUCCCCUACCAGCACCUCGCGGGAAGCAGGUGCUCGAGGAGAGUGGGGGCGAAUCCAAGACCAGCUGGCCCUCCCUCCAGUCGCUGGACGAAGAGGUGGGCCAGCCGGCGGCGUCCCAGGAAGUCAUCCCAGUGGACAACGAUGACGACGACAGUGACGACGCGCCCUGAUCGUGCGAAGAUCAAGGGCGUACGCUGCGGCUGCGGCCAUCUCCUCGGGUGCCACGGCGGCAUCUUCCCUAGCGGCGAUAUCCGCCCUGGCAACGGCCGCCCGCCGGUACCUCGGCCGCGACCACGUCCGCAGGGGCCGCCGGAGCCUCGGGGCGGCGACAUCCGCCCCAGUGGCGGCUGCCAGCGUCGCGGCGGCAGCUGCUCCGGUGGCGUCUGCUGAUGCCCCGUCGGGGACCAUCCGCGAUCCGGCAAUGGAUUCAGCAGCAACAGCCGCCGGGGAUGCGCCGGCCGCCUCCCUGGGGUCGGCCCCUGACGCCGUGGCAGCCCCGCGGGCCCCUACGGCGCCGCCCGCUCGGGGGGUCUUCCGGGGCUUCGCGCUCCGGCGCAACCCCCCGAGGACCAACUCGUCGGCGAGCACCAGCAAGAGGGGGAGGAGUGACUCCCCGCCCGCUACGCCGAGCAAGAGGGCGAGCGCGGACGCCGGCGGCGCCGCUGACCCGACCAUCACAGGGGCUAGUGGCGCUGUCAUCGCGCCCGCCGACAACCCAGCUCCAACGGGGGCGGGGCCUGUGACUGGUACGGCUCCUUCGCUCCUCCUCUGCUGCAUUUUUUAGUUGUUAGUUAACCAUACAAACAUACCUUCUUUUUCAGCAAGCAGCAGCUCACCCGUGGCAGGCCUCUCGGAAGCUCCCGCCGGCACGAGUGAGGCGGCGGAAGCCCGCCUCGCAAGUCCACCUGCCCUGCAAGGUAAUCGCUCUGGCUACCCUUGUCCGCUCUCGAUAACUCUUUUACUUGUCCAUCGUCACAUUCUUUGUUGCUGCAGGCCCAAACGCGCCCGUAUCGAGAGCGGACGCAAACAAGGUUGAUCUCGACUCCGAUGUCGAGAUCACGGGGGCGGUAGAGGAUCCGGCGUCAGCUCCCGCACCAGGCCCUGUCGCACCGGCGACAGCGGCAGUGGUGGCCACCGUCACCACCGAGACGGGGCUUGGCGACGCGCCAGGAGUUGCGGAUGCAGCUGGCGCGGACUCACCUGCCACCCAGCAGGGAAUGGCCUCUGCCAAGGGCAAGGAGGCUUCUCCAGCCCCGGGGUCCCCGGGCGUGGGUGAAGGGGGAGCCGUGGAGAGGGAACGGCAAGAGCUCUCCCGGCUGCGCGAGGAGACGCGCCUCGCCAGGGAGAAGGUGCGUCUAGCCCGGCAAGCCCUGGAGGACGCCGAGGAACCGGUCGUCCCGGAGGCCGAACUCCACCAGCAGCUGGAGGUCCAGAGCACGAAGCUUCAGGGAGAGCUGGACUCGCUGGCGGCAACCCUCGAGGCGACCAAGAAGGAGCACGCCGGGGUGCUCGCGGCGGCACAGGCCCGGCUAGACGAGAAGAGCGACCUGAUCGCCAGCUACUGCGGCGAGAUUCAAGGCCUUCGCGUCAAGCUGGAGGUGCAGGUCAAGGCCACCGAGGACACGGUGGGAGCUGCGGCCUGGAACGAGAUCCAGCUUGGCUCCGUCAAGGACAGAGCGGUUAGGCUUGAGACCGAACUGGCCGCUAUUCGGGAGGAGCUCGCCAAGGCCGGCAACUACAUUGCGGUCAAGACCGUGGAGCUUGCGGCACUGGAAGACAACCUCCGCAAGGCCAAGAAGGCCAUGCACAACGCUUCGCUCCCUCACGGCACGCUGAUCAGGCAGCGGCAAUUAGAAACCGAGAAGCUGGUGAAGAUCGCCCAGGCAUUGCGCGACUUGUUGCCCCGAUUCGAGCUGCAGGCCGCGACGGUGGACGGCUCGGACGUCUCCACCUUGAUCCCUUCUUCUCCCACCUGGUGGGGAAGCUUGGGGCUCUCGAUGUCUGGAUCGCCCAGUACGGUGCCAACGAAGUCGCCAACUGCGCCCCGGAGGUUGCCGGGACAAUCCUCCUGAGGACACACCUCCGGGACCCGGGGUUUCCCUUCGAGUCCCUGCUGGACGCCUGGUCGGACAGCGAGGACGAGCCCACGCACACCCAAGCGGUGCGCGGGUUCGUCGACGAGGUGGUCGAGCGGAUAUAGCGGAAGCCGGACCCCGAGCCGAAGAUGCCGGCAACUAGUUGCCGCAGCCCCUAGCCGUCCUUGCUGCUUUCCGAUGUAUCUCCUUUUGCUUGCUUUUUCCUCCAAGUGUGGCGUUUGGCGCCGUUGGAACAAUUAUUUUGUAAUUAGCUUAUGUAAUCGCUCAACACUUACUUAAUCAAGCUCUUUAAUUCGCUCAAUUCUUGUUCCUUGUUCCCGGUGCUGCCUCGCGGGGCGACUCCCCUAGCCUUUGCGUGUUUUGCCUUGUGUUACCGGGGACUCACGCGCCUCACCCUUGACCAGACCAGGGACCCGGGACGGACCCGUAGUGCCGACCUGGGGUCAAGUGGUAGCGGGGAGCCACUCCACUUGCGGGGUAACUACUCCAAGCCGUGCCCUUCCGGGACGGACCCGGGAAGCCACACGGGCAGCGCACUCCCCCCGCAAGCAUCCUUCUAACACUCCAGCUACGCGCAAGGUUCGGGGCCACACCUGGCGAGACAGCGUUCAAUUACGUUCAAUUCUUAGUGGGUUCGUCAUUUAGGUGUCAGUACUUAGCUUUUCGUUCAGUCUUGCGUCCGAAGCGUUCACUGGAGGCGCACUCCUAGCUCGUUAUCCCUGCAAAGUGCCUGACAAAGGGAAGUAGCAGAGACGCCGCGGCAACCCUCGCCCUUCUCCGAGGGGUGCAGCAGGGACACCAUGACUUCCUCGGCACCACCGCUGACCGCGGGCGACGAGGACGUCACGGCGUCCCCACAGCGGCCCUCGCUGCUUGGAACAAACCCGUCUGGGGGCUGCAGAAGGGACAUCGUGGCUUCCUCGCCGCCACCGCCGAAAGCGGGCGGCAAGGAUGCCACAAUGUUCCCGCAGCAGCCCUCGCUGCCUGAGAGCAAAACUGCUCGAGGGCCGUGGCAGGGACGCGGUGAUGGGCCGGAACGGACGGCGAACGCCGGCACCGGCGCCAUCACAGCGUCCUCGCAACGACCUGCGCCUAUAGAGGGGCUCUCUUAGGGGAAUACGGCAGGGACACUAUGAUGGUGCACCCGUUGGUAGGAGGCACCGAUGGCAUGCACCACCAUAGUGUCUCCGCGGCAGCCCUUGCUCCUUGCGGAGGUGUCCUCUGGAGGGAUGCGGCAGGGGCACUGCGGUAGUGCACCCGUCGGCGCCGGGCGCCGAUGGAAUGCACCACCACAGUGCCUCCGCGGCAGCCCUCUCCCAGGAGCCGCUCACUUGAGGAGGCACGGCAAGGGCACGGUGGCAGUGCACCCGUCGACGCGGGGCGCUGAUGGCAUGCACCACCACCGUGUCUCUGCGACGCCCCUCGGAGCGGGCUCGAUGGAACGAUGCGGCAAGGGCGUGAUGGCAGUGCACCCGUCGGCGCUAGGCACUGAUGGUAUGCACCCCCAUCGUGCCUCCACGGCACCGCCCGCCUUAACAGCCCCUUUCUCAGCUUCGCUCUGAGCCGUUCCAUGGCUGGGGCGCGCCUUUUAUAGGCGCGGGGGAGGAGCUUGCCACCGCGCGCGACGGAUCAGCGCAGCACCCGUGGCAUCCCUUCCUUUGAAAUGUGGUACAGUCUUCGCCACCCUGCAUGCCAAGUUGCUGUGACACACGUGGCGGCGCCCUCCCGAGUCAGGAGCCUCGGAGUGCGGCGAGUCCCUCAUGGUGCGGUCGUUCCGCACCUCAAGGCGCUGCUGCAUGCGGCGACCCGUGGGCAGCCCACGAGUAAUACAGUGCGCAAGAUUCCACUCUUUUCUGCAGAUUAGAUUCUUGCCAGGCCCGAGGUGCUGCAAUUUUUUUUCGAAAUUCACGAAAACACGCGAAAACACAGAAAGCAACACGAGUGAUCUCCUGCCUCCCAGCCCCCGGGCACGGAAGGGUUGAUGCCAAACUUGGAUGCGAGCAUUCUAUUUCCCAGCCGGGGUGCAUGUUGCGCGGAGCCUAGCAACUGCGUGUCCCGUGAUGCACAUUGCGGGUAACCCGGCAACUGCAUGUCCCAUGAUGCACGUCGUGGUUAACCCAGCGACUGCAUGCCCCGUGGCGGAGUGACCCGACAACGGGGUUUUCGCUUUCGAGGCUCCAGCAGCCCCCUGCUCACAACCAAGUAUGGAAAGACACUUUCGUGCACCAAAAGCAGGAGACUGAAGAAGGGGGAAACACACAAAUAAGCAAGGCAACUUUAAAGUUCAGGAACGAAACACUUAUCUUUAUUCACAAUAACUAGUGGUUUACACACGGGGGCUGCCCGGCUACGCUAGUUCGAGAGGUAUGCAUCAGCGGCAUCACCUGAGGGUCGGGCUCCGCCGCUUCACGGGUAGAACUUGCGCAAGUGCUCAAUAUUCCAACUAUUUGGCACUGGCAAGCCAUCUUCGGUUUCCAGCCGGAUAGCCCCCGGUCUGGUCACCUGCACUACCCGGAAGGGGCCAUCCCAUUUCAGAGUCAACUUGUUCCCGGCCUUCAUUCCUUGUAUCUGGCGCAGGACAAGGUCUCCGUUCUCGAGCCCCCGGGGACGGACUCGCUUGUCGUGGUAACGACGGAAUCCCUGCUGGUAGCGCGUGGCUCGCACAGCAGCCCGGCAUCGAAGCUCUUCGAUGAAGUUGAGAUCGUCCACCCUUUGCUCGUGUUGGCUGGUGUUGCCGUACGCGCGUACUCGGGGAGAUCCGUGCUUGAGCUCAAGGGGCAACACCGCUUCUGCCCCGUAGACAAGGGCGAAAGGAGUUUCGCCCAUUGCCCGACUAGGUGUGGUCCUGAUUGACCAUAGCACGGGCUGGAGUUCUUCAACCCAGUCUUUCCCGUGGCCCUUGAGCUUGUCAAAGGUUCUCGUCUUGAGCCCCUGCAGCACUUCUGCGUUGGCUCGCUCCGCUUGCCCGUUCCUCCUCGGAUGAGCAACGGACGCGAAGUGCAACUUGGUGCCCAUGCCCUCACAAUAGGCCUGAAACAUUGUGCUCGUGAACUGCAUGCCGUUGUCGAUGAUGAUGCCGUUAGGCACACCAAACCGGCACACAAUGCUUUUGAAGAACUUGAUCGCCGCCUGGGCGGUCACCUUCUGCACUGGUUCCACUUCUACCCACUUGGAGAACUUGUCGAUGGCCACAAACAAAUAUUCGUAACCACCAACCGCUCUCAGUAGCUUGCCGACGAUAUCGAGCCCCCAGACCGCGAACGGCCACGAGGAAGGGAUGACGUGUAGGGCCUGCGCCGACUGGUUGCUCUUCUUCGAGUGGAACUGGCACGCUUCGCACGUCUUCACCAGCCGCUCUGCGUCGGCCAGGGCCGUGGGCCAAUAGAAACCGUGCCGAAACGCCUUGCCGGCUAAGGCCCGGGAGGCCACAUGGUGUGAACAUGUGCCUCGGUGUAUCUCCUCCAGCAGCGCGCGGCCUUCGUCUUGCGGCACGCAGAUGAGCUUGACCCCGUUUGCUCGCCUGCGGUAGAGGUUCCCAUCCACCACAGUGCACAUUUUGGCUUGCCGCACUACUCGCUCCGCGGCAACGUCAUCUUCCAGGAGAGCCUCCCCUUUCAAGUAACGGGCGAUUUCCACCGCCCAGGGAGGGAUCUCCCUGCCAACGCAUGCCGCUAUAUCAGCGGCAUGGACCCCUGAUGUUGCGGGGGUUCCUUCGGUUGCCGGAGGGGCGUCCCCGGCAGCCGGCUCGGGGGCGACUGAAGGAGCCGCUUGCUUCUGGCAGAACACCCCUGCCGGAGGCUUCCGGCGCUCUGCUGCCAUCUUGGCCAGCUCGUCAGCAGUGAAGUUAUCCUUCCGCUUGACGUGCUCGAAUCGCAAACCUUUAAACUUACGUUCUAGCUUGCGGACUUCCUCCACGUGCGGUGCCAUCUGCGGGCAGUCGUAGUCCUUGUUCCCCUGGUUGAUCACGAGCUGGGAGUCCCCGCGAAUAACUAGGCGCUUGAUGUCGAGGGCGAUCGCCGCCCGUAACCCGGUGAGCAAGUCCUCGUACCGCCGUAUUAUUGGUGGAGUUCGGGAAAUUGAGCUGGACAGCGAACCUCAACUGGUCCCAUGUCGGUGACUCGAUGACGACCCCGGCGCCAGCUCCUUGGAGACUGAACGCGCCGUCGAAGUAGAGGACCCAGUGGUCCUCGUCCAGCUUGCCGGGCAGGCUGGUCUCCGGCUCAUUCUCUUCCACGCUCGUCGACGUCCAUUCCGCGACGAAGUCCGCCAAGGCUGUACUCUUGAUGCUCUUGGAGUUGGUGAAGUGGAGGUCCAACUCCGACAGCUCCAUCCUCCAUUCGGCCAACCUCCCGGUGGCUUCACUGUUGGUGAGGGCUCGCUCAAGGCACCACCGUGACGCGGUGCGCCUGAAAGUAGUGGCGCGGCUUGCGGGACGCAAGGAGAAUCCCCAAGAGGAGCUUCUGUACUUGCGGGUACCUUGUUCGCGCAUCGCGCAGCACCGUGCUGACGAAGUACGCCGGGUGCUGCACUAAUCGCUUCCGCGGUGCGGAAGCUGCCGGCUCGGGGGUGGUCCCUGGGCCCGAGGCGGUUGCUGGGGGCCGCUCAGCCCCCUGCCCCGCAGCCCCCCGGCUCGGAAGGGAUCCUUGGGGUAUGCACGAUUAAGAUUAGUAAAAUCUACACACAUGCGACGCUUGUUCCCUGCUUUAGGUACUACUACAGGGUUAGACAACCAAGUGGCGUACAGAAGUUCCCUGAUAGCCCCAGCAGCCUUGAGCUUGUCCACCUCCUACUUGAUGAAAUCUUUACGCUCUUGUGCUUGCCGCCGAAUCUUCUGCUUGACGGGGCGCGCGUCCGGGCGCACCGCGAGCCGAUGCUCAAUCACCUCCCUAGGAACUCCGGGAAGAUCUGAUGGUUCCCAAACGAACACGUCGGCAUUCUCCCGGAGGAAAGUGAUGAGGGCACUUUCCUAUUCGGCAGCGAGGUUCGCACCGACGAUGACGGUGCGUUCCUUGUUGCCGGCUUGGAGGGGCAGCUUCUUUACCUUGGCGGCCUCCUCCCGGAGCUUCUGCCCCUUGCCGGGGCGCGAGCUCGAGCCUGCGCUUCCCCCGGCAAGCUCUUGAUCGGCUUCUUCGUUGCCAGGGCAUCGCCCGGCGAGCUGUCGUCUCCGGCAGCGUCUUCAUCACCGGCGUCAGCCGUGGCGGCGGCCCUGACAACCUCGCCAACGCACCAGGCCGCGUCCUUGAGGUCGCAUCUGAUUGAGAGAACUCCAUAUACGGACGGCAUCUUCAUCACGCCAUAAGCACAAUGCGUAGCCGCCAUGAACUUGAUCAGCGCUGGCCGACCAAGGAUCCCGUUGUAGGGCAACGGGGUGUGUGCCACGUCGAACACUAUGUGUUCGGUCCUGAACGUUUCCCGAGACCCGAAGGUGACCGGCAACGUGAUGCGCCCCAGCGGGCGCAUGAUCCCAGGGUUCACCCCCCGGAACAGGUCGGUGGGCUCAGCUGCUCCAUUGGCAACUGGAGUUUCUCCACCAGCCUGGCGGACAGGAGGUUAAGCCCCGCUCCGUUGUCCACCAGUACCUUGGUCACCGUCAUAUUGCUGAUGAUUGGUGAGACGACGAAGGGUAUUACCCCUGAACCCAGCUGCCGCGCUGGGUGAUCGUCAACGCUAAAGGUGAUCGGCACAUGCCACCACCUCAGCGGCUGUUGCGGCUCCGCGUCCGGCAACAGCGCGCACACGUUGCGGGUGAGGCGCUUCACCGCGGCAUGGGAUGGGAGGGCAUAGGCUCCCCCAUGGAUGCAGGCGAUGCCGCGAGGCUCUUGGAAGCCCGGCUCGUCGCCACCAGUACAAUCGAACUCGCGCUGCUCCUCAGCGCGAGCCUUGUCGCGUCCCAGGGGAGGGAGCUCUCGUCCCGCGUGAGGCUGGCCGCGUCCCCCUUGGGGUUCGUCCCUGCCGGAACUGCCGCCGGCAGGCCUUGGCCCCGCUCUGGGGUCAUUCGGACAAUCUCGGGAGAGAUGCCCGAUGUCGCCGUAGUUGAAGCAGGCGCCAGCAGCACGGCGCUCCUCAUGGCGGUGCUCGCGCCGCUUCUUGAUCCCUUGCAGGAUGCAACAGUCCUGCGCGUCGUGGGUGGAGUUGUGGAUGGGGCAGCAGGACGGGUCACCCUGCUUGCCCCAGAACCACCACCCGGCGAGGUCUUCUUCGCAGGCCUCGUGGCAGGAGCCCCCGAGUCCGCAGCGAGAACCUGCUUCCCGCUGCGCUUGCGGGAACCCUUCUUCUGCGAACCAUCGCCUGGGCUCGUGGCAGCCAAGGCUGCCAGCUCGGGCGCUAGGCGCCCUUCCUCGGCCAUGGCGCACUUGUGCGCCAGGGCGUAUAGAUCCUGCGUCGUCCGGAUCCGAUGCGUGCUCAGCUUCUCGCGCAUCUUGGGGUCGCGGACGUUGAUGGCGAAGGUGUUGAUGAUGGCAGCUGCCUCCGCCUCUGGGAUAGAAUAGGAGAGAUUAGAGAAGCGGUUGACGACGCUCCGCAACGUCUCUCCUGGCUUCUGCACGAUGGUGUGCAGUUCCGCCAUGGUUCCCGGGCGCUUGUAGCCGCCCUAGAACGCGCUCACAAACUGCUCGUGCAGGUACGCCCAAGUGACGAUGAACCCGGCGGGCAGGUUGAGCAGGCAGGUUCUCGCUGAUCCUUUCAGGACCAUUGGGAACCAGUUGGUUCUGACCUUGUUGUCGGCGCCGAUGGCAUGCAUCCCCAACAUGUAGGUCAGGAAGAAAUCCUUGGGAUUCAUGGUCCUGUCGUACGUACCGAGCGUUGGUGCUCGGAACAUAUGGGGCCAUGUCACCCGCCGCAGCUCGCGCGUGAACGCGGUGUAGCCGUCCUCGAGGCCCAUGGGAGCGUCUUCCUGCUCCUGCGGGCGUUGGCGCUCUAUCUCGCGCCUGCGCCGGCGCUCUAAACGCUGGCAUAGAUCCUCUUGCUGGCGGGCAUCCCGCGUGAUGGUGGGUGAUGAGUCACCCCGCGUGACGGUGGGUGACGAGUCCGAGGACCCCUUCAGGCCCCCGUUUCCCUGGCCUCCCUGCGGAGGAGGGUUCUCCCCCUGCCGCGAGGCGCGGGGCGCGGAGACGCUCCGGGUUCUGCCUGUGGCCGGAGCCAACCGGGGCGCCCUCGCCUUGCGGCUGCUGAGCGGCUAGAGCGAGGAGCGCGUCCAACUCCUCGUCCCACAUCUCGUGCGCCGGCGUGCCUUGCUGCGGUUCAUACCGCACCAUGACCCACGCGGCGAUGAUGGCUUCCGCCGGGGUUCGUGCGGGAGGCAGCCGAUUUCCCGAACGGCUGCUGUCCGCUCUGGCCCCGGACGCCUCCGGGUGCGCGGGGUGUGAGCCCCCAGGCGUCACCCGCAACACGAUAUGCCCAUGGUGCCGCUGUUGCUGCUAAUCCUCGGCCCGCGACUCGACUCGCUGGCCAGUGCGGGCGGCACCAUGCCCGCUCGCGCGGCUGGCCCCGGCACUGGGGGCCGCCUGUCCCCUCAGCUGAUUGUCCGCAGAUGGCCGAGGAGGCGGGGGAGGCAGCUGUGAUUGCUGCACUCUCGAGGGCUUCGGGUUCUCCUGAGCCCCCGACGUGGGUCGCACGUCAUGCGACCGCGUGUGUGCCGCUGUGGCCUCACGCGAGUCUAUCCGAGGGUCACCAGCCCGCUUGGGAGGCAUGGUGGCCGGUCCCGUUGGCGAAGAAGACGAAGCCGACGUCGAUGCAAACACCGCUGCCGGUGGUCACCGGCGAGCUCUCCUCUAGCGACCCCUACCUGGCGCGCCAGAUGUCGUAGCACGGGGCUCCGACACCAGGGGCGUGCGGUCACGCCGAUCGUUCCGGCGAUCGCCGGCGUGGCCGAUGGGCCUACGCGACCUGCAAAGUAAUGUACACCGGAUGCAUGCAAGCUAAGAACACAUGCACACACGUUUUUACCCAGGUUCGGGCCACCCGAAGGUGUAAAACCCUACGUCCUACCUGUCUGAAUUGGUAUUGACUAUAGAUCAAGUGUUUACACGUUGCCGAGGGGAGGGUCCCCGGGCGUUCUCUUUCUGGCUAAGUGCUCUUCACUGCUUUAGGGUACUGCUAAUGGCCAAGGGUGAGUCCGUUUACCCGUCAGAUUGUGGAACCGUGGAACCCCUUGACCGCCGGCGGGAGUCCUCCUUUUAUACUGAAGAGGAUACCACAGGUGCCGCGGCGCAUGCAUUACAAGUGUCGAUCAGGGAGACCUGCAACUCCCCCUCGGUGAGCUGGUGGCGUGCAUGGGUGCCAACCUGCUGCUAGGGGUCUAAGACCCUAGAGGUAGGAUUGGACAUCCACUGUCACCUGAUUUGGACGGGGAAGGCCUCUCCUGUCGGCUCAUUUAAUGCGCCGUGUGCCUCACUCCUUGCCUUGGUGACACUGCGCAUCCGACGCCCGCCACGCGCCCGCGUGGCGCUGUUGCUCUGUCCGAUGGGCCCCACCUUUGUGGCGGGAGCCUGCGCCCGGGAACUCCUCCUCCCGUCAAGUCGCUCCCCGGGAAGCACCCAGGCCAAACACACCCCGGAACCCCCCUCCCGGGAAGCGGCUUCCCGGGAGCUGUCCAGCUCGAAGCCCCGCUAGCCCUUCCUGGCUGGUAGCUUGCCGGGCUGCUCAUGGCUGCUGCCUGGGACGAGAUCCUCCCGGGAACUCAAAGACGGGGCCCACACGUCGUGCAACGGUGGUACUCCGGGUGCCACUGGUGCGACAGGCCUGCACAACACAAAGAAAAACAGAAGAGAAGCCCCUCGGGCCGGAACUUCCGGCCCACGCAGCAGCAGCAAAAAAAGAGAGGGCCAAAGCUCCUCGGUCGCCGUCCCGUCUCCUCUCCGGCCCAUCUACACGCAAAUAAAAAAGAGGGGAAGGCAGGGCGGACCGCCGCCCGUGCUCGCCGGGUGUUCGACGAAACGCCCACACCCACGCCCGCACUCGUGCGCAUGCCGUUCCUGCACCGCGCCGUGCCCCCGUCCGCGCACGCGCUCGCGCACCUGCCGUGCCAGCGCCCCACUGUGCCCGUGUCCGCGCCAUGCCGCGAGCGCGCCCACGUCGUGCCAUGCUCGCACCGGAGUCGCGCCCUCGCCGCGCCGGGCCGCCCACGCGCCUACGCUGCGUCGUGCUCCUGCCUCGCCGCGCCCUCGCCCAUGCCGCGCCGUGUUCACGCCUCGCCAUGCCCAGGUUACACCAAGGCCGCGCCCGCGUCGCGCAGCGUCUCACCGCGCCGGGUCGCACAGAGGCCUCGCUCGCGUGAGACGUGCUCGCGUCCGCACCAACCCGUGCCCAUGCCCAUGCCAAGCCGCGACGCCCUGAAGGCAUUCGAAAGUAUGCCCGCAAGGCUCGCCGGAUCUAAAAAGCAUCAAAGCGAACGCCAUAAAGCUCCCCUCACCUUCACAAGAGCAAGAAAGGCGUGGCCGACAGCGAGGAUGUCCCGGAAGAACUUACAGGCACGACCGACCCCUCGCUCCAAGCGGCCUCGGGCGUGCUCCACGUCCCCACGAAGACUCGGUGAUGAGGAGCUUCCGCGCCCGCGCCUCGGCAACCAACACGAUCUCCGUCGAAGAAGGGAAGUAGCUAAUGCCCCUGCGGAGCUCCCUACUACACCAAGCCCUCGAAGGAAUGCCAGGCGCCGCCGAACGCGUCUUCGGCAUUGGGCAAGCCAAAGGAGUAUGGUGAGAAGCUCCACAGUGCCCAAGGUCUCCAUUUUAUAGGCCACCGGAGCCCCUAGGCAUCUGGGCCGGACCAAUGGUGCGGCGACACCUCGCCGUCCUUUUCACCAAGGAACAAGACAAGAAGAGGAAGAAAUGGGCAAGGGGAGCAUCCCCUUUUCCUAAAAGGAGGCCGGCCUGGUCGAAGAAGGGCGCCCCUCGCCCGGGCCCCACGUCCCGGCCGUGCCGGCGUCACCCCCGGUGACGAGCGUCACCUGCAAAGGCAAAAGCUUGGACCGAACGGUCCCUUCCCGUACGAAGGAGGAAGAUGACCUGUGGUUGUCCGAUCUAGGGUGCCUAGCCUCCCACGGUCGUCGGAUCUCCAUCACUUAAACCCGAACCAGUAUCGGGCCCAGCUGGGCCGUGGCCCAACAGUGGCCCAAGAAGCCGGCAUAAAAAAAAGGGAGGGGGGAACAGUGCGCCCGAAGGCGGCGCAGGUUCCGGCCCAGCUCACGUGGCCGGCUGGGUUCGAGAUUUUUGCAAAAAAGCCCGAGACUUUGGGAAAAUUGCCAAUAAAACCUCGGAAAAUUCGGGGAGGCCCGCAGGGCACCUCAUUUUUGCAAAAAAGUCCUCCGGGACACCGGAUUUCUCAUAGAGAGGUCCUAGGGUCCCGGUUUUUGCUAAAAUACCCCCCGAAAUUCGGUUUCUCGCAGGCAAAAUUGCCAUAGGCAUGGAAUUUCCCCGAAAUACCUCCAAGGCUCCUAUUCUCUGCAGGAAAACUGCCAAGUACCUAUGUUUCUCACAAGGAAGCUUGCCAGGGAAUUCAUCGAAGUCACCUUGACAAAUACAAGAACAAGGAAAAAGAAUCAAGAGUCCCGCAUCGAAGGUUGACCCGAUGGCAUUCUCAAUGCUUCCAGCUCAAGGGGGCUACUGUUGUAGUAAAAUAAAACCCUUAUAUGGGCCGAACCGUAAACCCUAUGUGGCGACGACUAAGUUAACAUUUCCCAAGCGUGAGUCAAGAUGCCCACGUGGCGUAGUACGUGGAAAAGGAAAACAAGUCAACAAGUCAAGUCUCUCAUGCCAUGAUCAAAGGAAGGAAUGAGUUAGAGUAUACAGUUCAUAUUCUUCCGUCAUUGAUAAACAGCUUGUUGGACAGUACUCAACACAAUUACCACAAAAUAUACAAACUCCGAAAUCAAUACUAUAAUUAAGCAAUUGUUUCCUUUUAACAGCCUUUUCAAAUCUCCAAUCCACAAUGGGGAGAUCUAUCGGACAUACGCGAACACAAACUUCACAAGCAAUACAUUUAUCAAAUUCAAAGUGGAUUCGUCCCCGAAAAAGCUCCGGUGUAAUUGAUUUUUCGUAAGGGUAGUGAAUCGUUAUAGGUAAACCAUUUGUGUGGGAUAAGGUAGUUAUGAAACUUUGACCAAUGUACCUUGUAGCACGUAUUGUUUGUUGGCCAUAACUCAUGAACCCAGUUACCAUAGGGAACAUAUUCUAAAUAUCUAUGAAAAAGGUAUGUUUCUUUCUCUUGUUUGAGAGAGCUUUUGUGUUGAAAAUAUUCUUACUGUUAUUCUAUUAUCUUAUUUAGAGUGAAACAAGUUGGGAAGAGGUUGUUAAUAAGAGAUUACCCAGGGAAAUAGGUAAAAGAAAUUUCCAUCCAAGAUUUAAUAACUGAUCGAUUCUCAUCCUGGGUAAAGUCCAUCUUAUUGUGAUAGAAAUGAAGAGAAAUAAAUAAGCUUUAGUUAAUGUAAUAAAGAUACCCAUUGUCAUUUCUAAAAUCCCAACUGCUUUAUUCAUUUGGAAAAAAUCAAAAAAGAAUAUAUAGGGAAUAGAUAAAUCCCACCCGCCUAAGUAGAGAACUGUUACAAAUAAAGAGGAAACUAAUAAAUUUAGGUAAGAAACAAGAUAAAAUAAACCAUAUUUUAUACCGGAAUAUUCGGUUUGAUAACCUGCUACUAAUUCUUCUUCUGCUUCUGGUAAAUCAAAGGGUAAUCUUUCACAUUCUGCCAAAGAAGAAAUUAGAAAAACCAGAAAACCUAUAGGCUGGCACCAAAUAUUCCACCCAAAAAAACCAUAUUUGGACUGUGCUUCAACUAUAUCAACUGUACUUGAACUGUUAGAUAAUCAUAGUCGAUGAUAACAUCACAGUUCCCACCGCUAUUCCAAAACCGUACAUGAAACCUUAGCUUCAUACGGCUUCUCUAUGAUCAGAAAAAGGGAAGGGCUGUUUCCUUUCGGUAUGAGCCUCUGGGGCGUAUAUAGAAUUAUUUUCUAGGCAAAAUAAAAUCGAUUGGAAAGCCCUAAAUUAGACCAAAGGAAUUCUGUCUGCUAGAAUAAGAGCGCUUCCGAAUUGAUCUCAUCCUUUAUAAUAUAAUGAAAAUUGUUCUUUGUUAAGUACUAACUUAAUCUUGGAAUAAAACACUCGUUAUAGGAAUUCUAUUAAUAAAUGGAAAGAAUUGGGCAUUAGUUCAGGAAGAAUUCUGUAUGAAUAUGGAUAGAGGAAGGAAAUAAUUAAUUUUUUUUUUUAUGUAUUGCAUUCUAUAUCUUUUGUCCUAUUCUUCUUUCCCCGGGGAGGGGUAUUUAAAAAGAAAAAAGAAAUAAAGGAUUAAUUCGUUCUUGAUAGCCAUUUCCUUAACAAGUGAAUGGAAACAUACUCUGGAUCGGAAUCCCAAGAAAGUACUACUUGAUCAUUUCCACUAAUUUCAAGUCCUUAUUAUGAUUCCUUUUAUGGGAAAAAUCUCUAAUUCUUAGAUUUCCCCAUUACUAAUCCUUUAUGUACUUUAGUGUUCCUGACCUUUCACUAACUUUUGAUGGAUUCUUUUUAUGUUUAUAAGUUAUAGUAAUAAUUAGGGAUAUUUUACUAAUGGAAUUCUAUAUCAUCCUUUCGUAAAUCCUUUAUUCUUGCCCGCUUCAAGACAUGAUGACUAAUUAAAAAAUAGCAAUCUUGGGGUAAAGAGUUUACACUACUUAUGUUUACUUCAAUUUUUUUCUUGUACGUAGGAAAUGAGAUUUUUUUUUUACUGCAAAUUAAUAAGCUGUUUUAUUUCACUCAUAUAGCUAUCUAGUUUAACUUACCAACCCGAAUACAGAAUAAGAAAAAGAAGAUAAAUAUUUAAUGGAUUUUAGAGGAAAAGGAUCCCAUUUUAACGAAUCACACGUAGAGAUAUUGCUAAUACACAAAAAGUUAAUGGUAUUUCAUAACUAAUCGAUUGAGCAGCAGCUCGUAGACUGCCUGAAAAAGAAUAUUUAUUAUUUGAGCUAUAUCCUGCCAUAAGAAGACCAAUAGGAGCAAUACUUGAAAUGGCAAUCCAUAAAAAAACACCAAUACUAAGAUCAGCUAAAGCAAAACGAUAUCCCAAAGGGAUCACUAAAAAACUUAAUAAAAUUGAUAUGACUGCUAUAGAGGGUCCAAUGCUAAAUAAAGGAAUAUCCCCUCGAGAUGGUAGAAUAUCCUCUUUUAAAAGUAGCUUAGUCCCAUCUGCUAUAGCUUGAAGUAGUCCUAGGGGACCGGCAUAUUCAGGACCAAUGCGUUGUUGGAUCGAAGCGGAUAUUUCUCUUUCUAACCAAACAAUUACGAGUACUUCUAUUGUGAUUCCCAAAAGAAGGGUCAAAAUGGGUAGAAUCCAUAUAAGUCCAUAGAUUUCUUUUAAUAAUUCUGAUUUCGAAAAAGAAUUGAGAGUUUCUACCUCUACCCUAUCUAUUAUCAUUUCAACGAUCAACUUCCCCCAUAAUGAUAUCUAUACUACCUAAUAUCGUCAUGAUAUCAGCCAAUUUCAUUUUUUUAACUAACUGAGGAAGAAUUUGCAAAUUAAUAAAACCGGGUGGACGAAUUUUCCAUCUCCAGGGAAAAAGGCCAUCAUCUCCUACUAGAUAAAUCCCUAAUUCACCUUUGGGGGCUUCUAUUCUUACGUAAAGCUCUUGCUUUGACAAUUCGAAAUUGGGUGAAGGUUUUUUACCAAGAAAUCGAUAUUCAAAAUCAUUACAUUCGGAAUUCUUUUCUUUCUUAAAGCGACGGACUUCUAAAUUUUCAUAAGGUCCUCCAGGAAUUUUCUCUACAGCUUGUUGAAUAAUUUUGAUAGAUUCUCUCAUUUCACCGAUUCGUACUAAAUAGCGAGCUAAUGAAUCUCCUUCUUUUUGCCAUUGGACUUUCCAACCAAAUUGGUUGUAAGACUCAUAAAGAUCUACUUUACGAAGAUCCCAUCGUAUUCCAGAAGCUCGUAACAUGGGUCCUGAUAAGCCCCAAUUUACUGCUUCUUCUCCGCUAAUAAAACCUACUCACUCAACUCGUUCCAAAAAAAUAGGAUUCUGUGUAAUAAGUUGUUGAUAUUCAACAACUCCCCGUAAAAAAUAAUCACAGAAAUCUAAGCAUUUCUCGAUCCAUCCAUAAGGUAGAUCGGCGGCUACUCCUCCGAUGCGAAAGUAAUUGUGCAUCAUUCGCAUACCUGUAGCAGCUUCAAAUAGAUCGUAUAUUAACUCUCUCUCUCUAAAAAUGUAGAAAAAAGGAGUCUGUGCGCCGAGAUCCGCCAUAAAAGGCCCAAGCCAUAAUAAGUGAGAAGCUAUACGGCUCAACUCUAACAUAAUUACCCUAAUAUAGCUGGCUCUUUGGGGUAUUUGAAUAUUUUCUAAAAAUUCUGGUGCAUUUACCGUUAUUGCUUCUGUAAACAUAGUAGCUAAAUAAUCCCACCGUGUUACAUAAGGUAAGUAUUGUAUAAUAGUUCGGUUUUCCGCGAUUUUUUCCAUUCCUCUGUGUAAAUACCCUAAUAUGGGUUCACAAUCAAUAACAUCUUCACCAUCGAGAGUAACGAUCAGUCGAAGAACACCAUGCAUUGAUGGGUGUUGAGGGCCCAUAUUGACUAUCAUGAGAUCUUUUCUUGUAAGCGGUAGACUCAUAUCCUUUCUUCCUUAAUUCGUUAUUCCAUGAAUUCCUCAAAACGAGGCUCAUCAAAAUGCAAAAUCUAAGACUACUAUAAGGCUACUAAAUAAAAUAAGUAAAAAAAUUCGAACGAUUAAAUUACUGCUCCCGAAUAUUCAAUUGACUGAUUAAUUUCUUAUAACGUACUCUAUUUUUCUUUGCCAAAUAAGCCAGCAAACGUCGACGUUUUCCCAAAAGUCUUCGUAGACCUCUUUCAGAUGAAAAAUCUUUUUUGUGUAAUUCCAAAUGUGAAGCAAGUCUCCGUAUCUUAUUGGUGAAAUUGAAUACUUGAAAUUCAACAGAACCUUUUUUUUCUUCUUUUUCUUCUUUAACCAUAAAUCCAAAGAUUUUUCUACCUCCUUCCUUUUUCAUGUAUUUUUCUAAUCAGGAAAAAUAAAACAUUAUGUCAGUUAUUUUGAAGUUAUUCUAAUCUUGUACACACAAAAAUUUGCAAUUAUUCAUCUACUACUGGAAUUUGGAUUUAUUUUAUCGAUGCAAAUUGGAUUUGGAUAGAAGGGUACAUUCUCUUAUUUUAGAUAGAAGAAACAUUUCUUCUAUCUAAAAUAAAAGAAUUUUGCUGAUUUUUUUAUUGCUAUAUCCAAUUUAUGGAAUUGAUACACCAUUUAAUUGAUAUCAUUUAGCAAAAUGAAACAUAGCAUAUGCAUCCAUCUUUGGGCUCGAGAAUUUCACGGGAUAGAGAUAUGGUAACUCGAAAUGAAUUGUGGAUACAUCUGUAUCCUUAACAUACUGAAACGAUUGCCAUUAUUUGUAUCAAACCAAUAGCGAUUCAUACAAGCUAAAUCUUCUAAUCAAUGGUGGGCCACUAAUGAAUUUUUUUGCAUAUGUAUUAAGACGCUUGGCCUGAUUUCAAAAUUGUCCAGAGUUUUAUAUGUUGUUUUCAUUGGAAAAUGACGGGUCUCCUUCCAUAACUUUCCAAUUACGAGUACGAGAAUUGAAAGAGAUGAAAAUUCUCAAUUAUCUACGGCGUCUAGGAGAUAGAUAGAAUAUUUUCAGGAACAAGAAAAUCGGAAGAAUCCUUCUCUCUAUUCACUACCAUUCCGCGUCUUCGACUUCUAUUAGUUUCUUUUCUUCUUUAAUGCAAUAGCUAUAGUUUGAUAUAAGAAUCUAUUUCUCAAAGUAAUGGAAACCAUUCUCUUAUAGGAAAUGGCUCGCAAAUCGCUAUUCCACCUUUUAGGUAUCGUGAAAAGUGAUACCUGUGAAGAUCGUGCAUUUCAGUCAAAUUCAGAUCCGUUUGUUUUUUCAGUCCAUGAUAUAACCAAAUUGGAUGGAUCUUCCACCCGUUUAGCUAAGAAAGAAUAGAUACAGAGGUGGAUAAUACAUCGAUAUGAAGAUCAUGAGCUGCCCCAUAAUGAAACCGCCAGUAGUCGCGAAUAUCCCCUUCUUCCCUAAUCCAAGAUUGGAGAAAGAAGAUCUAAGAGGGCCCUAUGGGGAAUGUGGUCAGAAAUCCUUAAUAGAGUCCGACCACAACGACCGAAUUAAUUAUCCUCAUCGAGAAACUUAGACUACUAAAUGGAAAAGAUUUGAAAAUCAUGGCAUGGGUCUCCUUUUUUUCUUUCUUUAGAGUUUUCUAUAUGCAGAAUUUCUCGAUGUUUUCAUGAGAAUUUCUUGACUUUCCAUAUAUAGAAAGAGAUAGACUAUAAAUGACAUCUCAUAUGUCAAUAAGACCAAAGGGAUGGAUAUUAAAUGAUAGGAAGUGCUAGGAAGUGAAAUAGAAUGAAAUAGAGCCACUUUGGGCUUCCCUAUGAAAUGAGGCA